GACGUAGGGGGCCAGCGUUGUUCGGAUUUACUGGGCGUAAAGGGCGCGUAGGCGGCCGAUCAAGUCAGGCGUGAAAGCCCCGGGCUCAACCUGGGAAUGGCGCUUGGGACUGGUUGGCUUGAGUUCGGGAGAGGAGAGUGGAAUUCCCAGUGUAGAGGUGAAAUUCGUAGAUAUUGGGAAGAACACCGGUGGCGAAGGCGGCUCUCUGGACCGAGACUGACGCUGAGGCGCGAAAGCGUGGGGAGCAAACAGG
rnacentral:rRNA from 1 species